rnacentral:lncRNA from 1 species
GCUAUUCUGAAAGCCCACCAGUCCUGAACUCCACGUUUCCCAUCACGCUAUAUUUGAUCAGCGCUUUCUUCUCUCAAGCCGUCUCCUACAAGCUCAGUCCUGCCUUUCCUAGCAAGCGACAAAUUUACCUUCUUGUUUCAAGUACUGGAGUUGAUCCCUAACAAACACCUCACACACUAUGCUCCGUCUCAGUAUCUACUUCAGAGAUCCCAGUCUGCAGCCAGACAUGGUCAUCAUAAUUUCUCACUGGAACAUUUGUUUGCAUUUUCUUUUUUCCAGACUCUAAGGAGCCCCAAGGACUCUAAGGCUCCCUUCAUUUUUUUAACCUUACUCAGCAUGGAUUCCAUGCUUCUACCCAAACGCAUCAGCGUUCCUUCUGUUCUGGAGAGCCAGCCGCUUGCAUUUCAUCUCUUUG